rnacentral:tRNA from 1 species
UUAAUUAAAACCAAAAAGAGGUAAAUUAUUGUUAAUAAUUUAAUUGAAUUAUAUUUCUAAUUAAU